UACAGAGGGUGCAAGCGUUGUUCGGAAUUACUGGGCGUAAAGCGCGUGUAGGCGGUCUGGUAAGUCAGAUGUGAAAUCCCUCAGCUUAACUGAGGAACUGCAUUUGAAACUACCAAACUAGAGUAUCGGAGGGGAUGGUGGAAUUCCCGGUGUAGAGGUGGAAUUCGUAGAUAUCGGGAGGAACACCUGUGGCGAAGGCGACCAUCUGGAAGAUUACUGACGCUGAGACGCGAAAGCGUGGGGAGCAAACAGG
rnacentral:rRNA from 1 species